GUUGGUUUGUGUGUCUCUUGCAGCCUGGCAGAUAUCCAUGAAUUGACAUGUUUGUUGCAAGUCCUUGUUUCCUGCCGGAAAGAGUAAGGUAAUGGAAGACCUGCGACUGCUCUACUGGUAAGGUCAUUUAUGCCCACCCGUUUUUCAUCCUGGUUUUCCUGGGGCUGAAAUCUGCAUUUCUGUGCUUUGAAGGGAGCUCUUUUGUUAGUGUGUGCAAUCCGCUGUGUCUCCUGCAAUUCCAUUACUGUCCCAGAUAGAGUGAUGAAUUUGCUGGUGUUGGCCGCAGUCUCUGCAUUUUUGACCAGGGUUUCCCAG
ensembl:lncRNA